rnacentral:snRNA from 2 species
GGAUGUGAGGGCGAUCUAGCUGCAACAUCUGUCACCUCAUUGAUUGCCAGGGUUGAUUUGGCUGAUCUGGCUGGCUAGGCGGGUGUCUCCUUCCUCCCUCACCGCUCCAUGUGUGUCCCUCCCAAAGCUGCCCGCUCGUUCGAAGAGGACUACCAUCCCCGAUAGAGGAGGACCAUUCUUCUGUCAAGGGUAUACGAGUAGCUGCGCUCCCCUGCUAGAACCUCCAAACAAGGUCACAGGACACUUCUUGAUCGUCCCAUCAACAAAACAAUUAAUCAGGUCCCAGGAUCCAGUCCCGCAUCGGGCUCCCUG